rnacentral:lncRNA from 1 species
UUCUAGCCAGCCCUGGCCCGGCUCAGAAGGUGCUCCCACCAUGGAUGGGCUUCGGGCUAGCGCAGGGCUGUUGAGGCGCGGGCGGUUGAGACGCCGGCGCCAGCCGCAGCCACACAGCGGGUCGGUCCUGGCCCUGCCCUUAAGGCCCAGGAAGAUCCGAAGGCAGCUGAGGAGAAGCGUGGCGUCCCGCAUGGCCGCACUGAGGGCCCAGACACUGCCGAGCGAGGACUCGGAGGACUCGAGGGUGGAGUCGACGGUCGACGAUCCUGGAGACCCGCUGGCUGGUGGGGCAGCGACCAUCCCGGAUGCGGCCCGGCGAGAGCCGUACGGUCACCUGGGGCCUGCAGAGCUGCUGGAGGCCUCGCCCGCGUCCCGCUCCCUGCAGACCCCCCGCGCGCUGGUGGAGGCGCAGACCCCGCCGGCCCGCCUGGUGGAGGCUCAGACCCCGCCGGCCCGCCUGGUGGAGGCGCCCGCCCUGCCCGCGCGCCUAGUGCCGGCUCCCGCGCCUCCCGCGCGCCUGGUGGAGGUGCCCGCUGCGCCGGCGCGCGUGGUGGAGACCUCGGCGCUGCUGUGCCCUGCCCAGCACUUGGCGGCCGNCCGCCCCGCCAUCCGUGGCCCCCGCAACGCUGUCGGGGCCGCAGGUGGAUAGCACCGGCGGGGAGUUGGCCUGGGACUCGCCGCUGCAGCGCGUCCUGGCGGAGCUGAACCGCAUCCCCAGCAGCCGGCGGCGGGCCGCGCGCCUCUUUGAGUGGCUCAUCUCGCCCAUGCCGCCCGACCAUUUCUACCGGCGCCUGUGGGAGCGGGAGGCGGUGCUGGUGCGGCGGCAGGACCACGCCUACUAUCAGGGGCUUUUUUCCACCGCAGACUUGGACUCCAUGCUGCGCCACGAGGAGGUGCAGUUCGGGCAGCACCUGGAUGCUGCUCGGUACGUCAACGGGCGGCGCGAGACCCUGAACCCCCCCGGCCGCGCGCUGCCUGCCGCCGCCUGGGCCCUGUACCAGGCUGGCUGCUCCCUGCGCCUCCUCUGUCCGCAGGCUUUCUCGACCACAGUGUGGCAGUUUUUGGCCGUCCUCCAAGAGCAGUUUGGCAGCAUGGCAGGCUCCAACGUUUACCUCACGCCCCCCAAUUCGCAGGGUUUUGCCCCCCACUACGACGACAUCGAGGCUUUUGUGCUGCAGCUGGAAGGUAGGAAACUCUGGCGUGUGUACCGACCCCGGGUCCCGACCGAGGAGCUGGCCCUGACAUCCAGUCCCAACUUCAGCCAGGACGACCUCGGUGAGCCGGUGCUGCAAACUGUGCUGGAACCUGGAGAUUUGCUCUACUUUCCUCGGGGCUUCAUUCACCAAGCCGAAUGCCAGGAUGGAGUGCACUCUCUGCACCUCACCUUGUCCACGUACCAGCGCAAUACCUGGGGCGACUUCCUGGAGGCCGUCCUGCCCCUGGCAGUGCAGGCUGCCAUGGAAGAAAAUGUGGAGUUCCGAAGGGGUCUUCCCCGAGAUUUCAUGGAUUACAUGGGGGCCCAGCACUCAGAUUCCAAGGAUCCACGAAGAACCGCUUUUAUGGAGAAGGUGCGAGUCUUGGUUGCCCGCUUGGGACACUUUGCCCCUGUCGAUGCUGUGGCUGACCAGCGAGCCAAAGACUUCAUCCACGACUCUCUGCCCCCUGUGCUGACUGAUAGAGAGAGGGCACUAAGUGUUUAUGGGCUCCCAAUUCGCUGGGAGGCUGGAGAACCUGUUAACGUGGGGGCCCAGUUGACAACAGAAACAGAAGUGCACAUGCUUCAGGAUGGGAUAGCUCGGCUGGUGGGUGAGGGAGGCCAUUUGUUUCUCUAUUAUACAGUGGAGAACUCCCGUGUUUAUCAUCUGGAAGAGCCUAAGUGCUUGGAGAUAUACCCACAGCAAGCUGAUGCCAUGGAACUUUUGCUCCGCUCCUACCCAGAGUUUGUGAGAGUAGGGGACCUGCCCUGUGACACGGUGGAGGACCAGCUUUCCUUAGCGACCAUGUUAUAUGACAAGGGGCUGCUGCUCACCAAGAUGCCUCUAACCUGAACUAGUUUCUUCUUGAUUGUUGGAAGCAAGACAGUGGUGAUUCUCUCUUAGCCACCAUUACCAUCUUUUUGGCAGGGGGGUGGGGUAGGAGGGACUCAUGUUCUUACCUUGAUAACCAUUUACCUUUAUGACUGCUCACAUUUACCUUUAUGACUGCUUUAAUGUCACAAAUUUCAGAUGGUUUUCUAGGAAUCACCACUUCAUCUAGGCACAAAAGUAAAAGCAGAAGUUGGAGGUGGAAAAAAGGAGCAAUUUUUGCAGAAGUAACUUUGAUCCCUGAUCAUUUCAGAGCACCAGCUUCAUCACCCUCAGGCUUCAGCGUACUGUGUAGCACUUGCUGUGUCAUUCUGCUUGAGACAUUAGAAGUUUUUAUUUGGAAUUUGCAUCCUUCAUUUGAGUUCUCUUCAGUUUGGGGGGAGGGUUGGGGUCAGUAUCUUGUUUGCUACUGUGAGUUUGUAUGAAUGUUAGAAAAGUUAUUAAUUAAAGUGCCAAAGAAUG